rnacentral:rRNA from 1 species
UACGGGGGGAGCAAGCGUUGUUCGGAUUUACUGGGCGUAAAGGGCGCGUAGGCGGCCUCUGCAAGUCGACUGUGAAAUCUCCGGGCUUAACCCGGAAAGGUCAGCCGAUACUGCAGGGCUAGAGUGCAGAAGAGGCAACUGGAAUUCUCGGUGUAGCGGUGAAAUGCGUAGAUAUCGAGAGGAACACCUGCGGCGAAGGCGGGUUGCUGGGCUGACACUGACGCUGAGGCGCGAAAGCUAGGGGAGCGAACGGG